UGGAGACUCCUACGGGAGGCAGCAGUGAGGAAUAUUGGUCAAUGGACGGAAGUCUGAACCAGCCAAGUAGCGUGCAGGAUGACGGCCCUCUGGGUUGUACACUGCUUUUAGUUGGGAAUAAAAAAGAGGACGUGUCCUCUAUUGUAUGUACCUUCAGAAAAAGGACCGGCUAAUUCCGUGCCAGCAGCCGCGGUAAUACGGAAGGGCCAGGCGUUAUCCGGAUUUAUUGGGUUUAAAGGGAGCGUAGGCGGAUUAUUAAGUCAGUGGUGAAAGACGGUGGCUCAACCAUCGUUAGCCAUUGAAACGUGUAGUCUUGAGUGCAGACAGGGAUGCUGGAACUCGUGGUGUAGCGGUGAAAUGCUUAGAUAUCACGAUGAACUCCGAUCGCGAAGGCAGGUGUCCGGGCUGCAACUGACGCUGAGGCUCGAAAGUGUGGGUAUCAAACAGGAUUAGAAACCCCGGUAGUCCAGAAGUG
rnacentral:rRNA from 1 species